rnacentral:rRNA from 1 species
GAUGAACGCUGGCGGCGUGCUUAAUACAUGCAAGUCGAGCGAACAGGUGAUGCUCUUACUCCUCUCACGUUACCAACGGACGGGUAAGUCACACGUGGAUAACCUAGCUAUAAGACUUGGGUAACUUCGAGAAACCGUAGCUACUACCAGAUGCUAUAUUUAACCGCAUGGUUCGAUAGUGAUAUCGGUUUUUGAUGUGAUUUCUAGCUAGCUCCGCGCCGCAUGAGCUAGUUGGCAAGGUAACGGCAUACCAAGGCAACGAUGCGUAGCCGACCUGAGAGGGGGAUCGGCCACACUGGAACUGAGACACGGUCCAGACUCCUACGGGAGGCAGCAGUAGGGAAUCUUCCGCAAUGGGCGAAAGCCGGACGGAGCAACGCCGCGUGAGUGAUGAAGGUCUUCGGAUCGUAAAACUCUGUUAUUAGGGAAGAACAAAUGUGUAAGUAACUAUGCACGUCUUGACGGUACCUAAUCAGAAAGCCACGGCUAACUACGUG